AGCGGCGAAAGGGUGCGUAACACGUGGGUAAUUUACCUUGAAGUUCGGGAUAACCUGUCGAAAGACGAGCUAAUACCGAAUGUGAUUCAAACAGAGCAUUUUGUUUAAAUUAAAGUUGGGGACCGCAAGGCCUGACACUUCUUGAUAAGCCCGCGGCCUAUCAGCUAGUUGGUGAGGUAACGGCUCACCAAGGCUAAGACGGGUAGCUGGUCUGAGAGGACGACCAGCCACACUGGAACUGAGACACGGUCCAGACACCUACGGGUGGCAGCAGUCGAGAAUUUUUCACAAUGGGGGAAACCCUGAUGGAGCGACGCCGCGUGGGGGAUGAAUGGCUUCGGCCCGUAAACCCCUGUCAUUUGUGAACAAACCUUUCCAGUUAAUAGCUGGAAAGCUGAUAGUAGCAGAAGAGGAAGGGACGGCUAACUCUGUGCCAGCAGCCGCGGUAAUACAGAGGUCCCAAGCGUUGUUCGGAUUCACUGGGCGUAAAGGGUGCGUAGGUGGCAAGGAAAGUUUGAUGUGAAAUCUCCGAGCUUAACUCGGAAAUGGCAUUGAAUACUUCCUAGCUAGAGGGUUGGAGGGGGGACUGGAAUUCUCGGUGUAGCGGUGAAAUGCGUAGAUAUCGAGAGGAACACCAGUGGCGAAGGCGAGUCCCUGGACAACUCCUGACACUGAGGCACGAAAGCUAGGGGAGCAAACAGGAUUAGAUACCCUGGUAGUCCUAGCUGUAAACUAUGCACGUUUGCUGUGAGAGGAAUCGACCCCUUUCGUGGCGAAGCUAACGCGUAA
rnacentral:rRNA from 1 species